ACACAACGCGUCCCGACCAGUGAACAGUUUGUCGUCUAGAUGCCAACUCAGAAUAACUCCAGAACCAACAUCAUGGACCAACGGACCAUCACAGCCCUCCCUGGACAUACGGGCCAAUGAAAGCCGUCCCUGGACCAACGGAACAAUGACAGAGCUCCCUGGACUAACGGACCAAUGAAAGCCCUCCCUGGACCAACGGACCAAUGACAGAGCUCCCUGGCCCAGGUUGAAGGUGCUCUUUACACCAAUAUCUUCCCACUGACGUUUCAGUUCAGGCAUUCCUUCAGGAAGUGCAUGCAUCAGUUGAAUGUUUUCUACUGUGUCUCAUUGUGUAUUUAUUGCAUUAUAUAGUAUUUUUGAGCGUUGGGGUGCCCAUUUUUUU
ensembl:lncRNA